GAUGAACGCUGGCGGCGUGCCUAAUACAUGCAAGUCGAGCGAACGGACGAGAAGCUUGCUUCUCUGAUGUUAGCGGCGGACGGGUGAGUAACACGUGGAUAACCUACCUAUAAGACUGGGAUAACUUCGGGAAACCGGAGCUAAUACCGGAUAAUAUUUUGAACCGCAUGGUUCAAAAGUGAAAGACGGUCUUGCUGUCACUUAUAGAUGGAUCCGCGCUGCAUUAGCUAGUUGGUAAGGUAACGGCUUACCAAGGCAACGAUGCAUAGCCGACCUGAGAGGGGGAGGGGCACAAUGGAAACGGAGCCAGGGCGAGGCCUCCACGGGGGGGCGCAGGAGGGGAUUUUCCCGAAAUGGGCGAAAGCGGAAGGGGGAAACGCGGGGUGAGUGAUAAAGGUGUCGGAAUCGAAAAACUGUUUUAUUAGGAAAAAAAAUAUGUGAAAGAAACUGUGCACAUCUUGAGGGUACCUAAUAAGAAGGCCCCGGCAAGCUAGGGG
rnacentral:rRNA from 1 species